rnacentral:rRNA from 1 species
UAAGAACUUAGUGGCGGACGGGUGAGUAACGCGUGGGUAACCUGCCCUUUUGUGGGGAACAACUUCUUCAAAUCGGAGCUAAUACCGCAUAAUAAUAGAGGAUCGCAUGAUUCUUUAAGGAAAGAUGGCCUCUGAAGAUGCUAUCGCAAAAGGAUGGACCCGCGUCUGAUUAGCUAGUUGGAAGGGUAACGGCCUACCAAGGCAACGAUCAGUAGCCGGCCUGAGAGGGUGAACGGCCACAUUGGGACUGAGACACGGCCCAAACUCCUACGGGAGGCAGCAGUGGGGAAUCUUCCGCAAUGGGCGAAAGCCUGACGGAGCAAUGCCGCGUGAGUGAAGAAGGCCUUCGGGUUGUAAAACUCUGUCCUUAUCGAAGAGAAGUAGGUAUGUGAAUAAUGUACCUAUAGAACAGUAGAUAAGGAGGAAGCCCCGGCUAACUACGUGCCAGCAGCCGCGGUAAUACGUAGGGGGCGAGCGUUGUCCGGAAUCACUGGGCGUAAAGGGCGCGUAGGCGGUUUAAUAAGUCAGUGGUGAAAACUGAGGGCUCAACCCUCAGCCUGCCACUGAUACUGUUAGACUUGAGUUAUGGAAGAGGAGAAUGGAAUUCCUAGUGUAGCGGUGAAAUGCGUAGAUAUUAAGAGGAACACCAGUGGCGAAGGCGAUUCUCUGGGCCAAGACUGACGCUGAGGCGCGAAAG